CAAACCCAGUGAAAUCUUGCGUUGAGAGACGCCGUAGGUUUCCAACACAGUUGAAUGGUUUAUCACGAUCUUCAUCUCUUCGUAUCGCUUCGUUUCCAUUUCUCCUCUUGUCUUGGCUCGAGAUUCCGUUGCAGUUCCGAUUUGCAUUUUCAAACCACCGGGGUUCAGGAUCUUGGCAUGUUAGCUCCUGGCAGUGGAGAAGAGAUUGGAAACAUGUGUUGAAAUAUGAUAGAUAUCUGUCAUCAAGGACCACGCACUUCAAAACCUUUUGCAUUUAAGCCUUGAAAUUGGGAGUUGAAGAAUACAGAGUCCAUUGAUGUUACUGUUACUGAUGCUGUUGGGUCCAAUAUUUGAAUUGAUAGUAGAGGACCUGAAAGUCAUGCUCAUUUAAAUCAGUUUUGAAAGGAUAACAGACUCAAAUGAUUUGGAGCGUGAAAGAGGAAUCACUAUACCGAGUAAAAAUACAUUUGUGACUUAUAAUGGUGGUGCAGUUGAGCGCAUCUGAAUAUGGUCAAAGGAAUCCUUCUAGUGGUAGAUUCUGUUGAAGGGCCAAUGCCUCAGACAAGAUUUGUCUUAAAGAAGGCUUUAGGGUUUGGUCAUGCGGUUGUUAUAGUUGUGAAGAAAAUAGACAGGUCUUCUGCUCGCCCUGAGUUUGUCGUCAAUUCUACUUUUGAACUCUUCAUUGAACUAAAUCCAACAGAUGAACAUGUUUGCUUGUGAUAUAACUCAAUUAGUUUGUUUUCUGUGUUUUACAAAUUGGGUUCAUACUUGGAAUUGGAAGUCUGUCAGUAGUCAGUUAAUUGUGAUUUCUUUAUUGACAAUUAUCUGUGGGAAAGGUAUCAAGUUGUUAAGAUUUCGAAUGUUUGCUGGUAAAUACAAACUUAUUAGCUGUGUGUGAGUGAUUGUAAUUGUUUCAGUAUAUGUAGUGUUUUUUCUGUCUUUGCAGUCUGACUUUCAGGUAAUAUAUGCAAGUGGUAUAAAAGGGAAAGCUGGGUUGUCUCCUGAAAAUCUGGCAGAUGACUUUGGGCCAUUAUAGUCUUAAUCAACCUUAACAAAAUUUGAAACACCAAUAAACUCUCAACUUUCAUUUUUAAACAUCAUGAUAUGAACCAAAUUAUGUGAGUGAUAUAUACAAGACCUAAUUUGUAGUCUUAUCAUAUACUUAUUCAUCAACUAGGUUACAAGUACCGAGUAUAAGGGACAUAAAGGGCGUAUAACAAUUGACCGCUUGGAAGCUGGAGUUUUAGAAAAAGGGAUGGAGGUCAAGCUAUGCAGGUAUGUGUUGAAGAAGAUUCGAUUGGCCAAGCAUUCAGAGAAGUCCAAAUCCAAGAGGGAAAGUAUGUUACCAGUAGGAAUUUAAGGGACAUACUUUAUCACGAACUUGAGCGAAAUCUGGCUAUCAAGGUUGAGAAGAUGGUGAAACAGCCGAUACAUUCAUUGUCAGUGGGCGCGGAACUUAGCAUAUCACUAUACUCAUUGAAAAUAUGUAAGUGUGUUUGUGUGAGUAUUCUAUUUUUUGAAGAAUACAGAGACCAUUGAUGUUACAGAUGCUGUUGGGUCCAAUAUUCGAAUUGAUAGCAGAGGACCUGAAGUCAUGCGCAUUGUUCCUCGUUUAAAUGAGGACAUUAAUGAAGAAUGGAUUUAAGACAAAACCCGCUUUUGUUAUGAUGGUUUGACAAGGCAGAGGUUAAAUGACUGUAUGAUUCGUGGUCCUUAUCCCAGUUGUCAAAUAUACAUGGACGAACUGGACCUUUUUUCAUACAAUCUGAAGAGAUAAGAGCUAUGGCUAGACAUUGUUCUAUUGGCAUUGAACCAAGGAUAUCUGCUGAAUGUAUUACUCUUCUUCAUACCCAGGUUCUCAUCAUAUGAACCAACUUCAUUGCUCAAGAUUGAAAGUUCAGCUGAAAGCACCGUGCAUUAUCCAAAGAAUCAAUGUUUCUUGUCUUACUUUUGAGAUUGUUGGAUUCUGUUUUCUGGUACCUCCUUGGUUUACUGAACUUUCUCUUGUAUUUUUCUCAUUUUUAUAUUAAUAUAUAUUAUAUUUACCAUUCAAAAAAUAUGGGAUCGCAUAAUAAGAUUGCAGACUUUGAACAUAUAUCGUAGACUUUGUGCCACGAGAAGGGAUCAAAUCA